UGGAAACAGAUGCUAAUACCGGAUAACAACAGAUGAUGCCUAUCAACUGUUUAAAAGAUGGUUCUGCUAUCACUCUUGGAUGGACCUGCGGUGCAUUAGCUAGUUGGUAGGGUAACGGCCUACCAAGGCGAUGAUGCAUAGCCGAGUUGAGAGACUGAUCGGCCACAUUGGGACUGAGACACGGCCCAAACUCCUACGGGAGGCAGCAGCC
rnacentral:rRNA from 1 species